AACGAACGCUGGCGGCAUGCCUAACACAUGCAAGUCGAACGAUUGCCUUCGGGUGAUAGUGGCGCACGGGUGCGUAACGCGUGGGAAUCUGCCCUUAGGUUCGGAAUAACAGCUGGAAACGGCUGCUAAUACCGGAUGAUAUCGCGAGAUCAAAGAUUUAUCGCCUGAGGAUGAGCCCGCGUUGGAUUAGGUAGUUGGUGGGGUAAAGGCCUACCAAGCCGACGAUCCAUAGCUGGUCUGAGAGGAUGAUCAGCCACACUGGGACUGAGACACGGCCCAGACUCCUACGGGAGGCAGCAGUGGGGAAUAUUGGACGAUGGGCGCAAGCCUGAUCCAGCCAUGCCGUGUGAGUGAUGACGGCCCUAGGGUUGUAAAGCUCUUUUACCCGGGAAGAUAAUGACUGUACCGGGAGAAUAAGCCCCGGCUAACUCCG
rnacentral:rRNA from 1 species